GAUGAACGCUGGCGGCGUGCCUAAUACAUGCAAGUCGAGCGAAUGGAUUAAGAGCUUGCUCUUAUGAAGUUAGCGGCGGACGGGUGAGUAACACGUGGGUAACCUGCCCAUAAGACUGGGAUAACUCCGGGAAACCGGGGCUAAUACCGGAUAACAUUUUGAACCGCAUGGUUCGAAAUUGAAAGGCGGCUUCGGCUGUCACUUAUGGAUGGACCCGCGUCGCAUUAGCUAGUUGGGGAGGUAACGGCUCACCAAGGCAACGAUGCGUAGCCGACCUGAGAGGGUGAUCGGCCACACUGGGACUGGGACACGGCCCAGAAUCCUACGGGAGGAGGCAGUAGGGAAUCUUCCGCAAUGGACGAAAGUCUGACGGAGCAACGCCGCGUGAGUGAUGAAGGCUUUCGGGUCGUAAAACUCUGUUGUUAGGGAAGAACAAGUGCUAGUUGAAUAAGCUGGCACCUUGACGGUACCUAACCAGAAAGCCACGGCUAACUACGUGCCAGCCGCCGCGGUAA
rnacentral:rRNA from 1 species